AACGCGAAGAACCUUACCUGGGCUAGAAACGUGCGGACCCGGUAGAACAUCGGGGUGCUCUUCGGAGAACGCAUGGUUAGGUGCUGCAUGGCUGUCGUCAGUUCGUGUCGUGAGAUGUUGGGUUAAGUCCCGCAACGAGCGCAACCCCUAUCACUAGUUACCAACGGUUCGGCCGGGGACUCUAGUGAGACCGCCGAUAUUCAAAUCGGAGGAAGGUGGGGACGACGUCAAGUCAUCAUGGCCCUUAUGUCCAGGGCUACACACGUGCUACAAUGGUUGCCACAAAGCGCUGCAAACCCGCGAGGGGGAGCCAAUCGCAAAAAAGCAACCUCAGUACAGAUAAGAGUCUGCAACUCGACUCUUUGAAGUUGGAAUCGCUAGUAAUCGCUAAUCAGCAGGUAGCGGUGAAUACGUUCCCGGGCCUUGUACACACCGCUAGUC
rnacentral:rRNA from 1 species